rnacentral:RNase_P_RNA from 1 species
UCAGACAGUCGCUGGUGCCUAUGGCAUCAGAGGAAAGUCCAUGCUCGCACAGCCUGCGAUGGCUGUAGUGUUUGUGCCGGAUGAAACCAUAAAUCCGGGCAGGGCAAUUCCUGACGGCUGCGUUCGUUCCUAAAGCAGCAUGUCAUGGAAAGAACGCUUUAAAAGUGCCACAGAGACGAGCGUGCCGGGAAACCGGUGCGGUGGAACGGGUAAACCCCGCAAGCGAGAAACCCAAAUUUGGUAGGGGAGCCUGCCGGAGCGAAAGGAAGCGAAGGCGGGACACGAAAGUGUAGAUAAAUGGCUGUCGCCCGCAAGGGAACAGAACAUGGCUUAC